rnacentral:lncRNA from 1 species
GAUGUAAGCAAUGAUGUACGAAUGAUGGGAGUGCGACUUCCAAUUCGGGCGAGUGCAACUCAACUUGGCGGCCGACUUUUGUGUUGGUGCGUACAAUUGUGUCCACUCGUGAAUCGUUGAAAACCGAUGCAUAAAAUUGUGUCCGCUCGUGUAUUGUUGAGAACCGGCACUCGUCCGAUUCAUUUUAACGAAUCGUUGAAAACCGG